GACGAACGCUGGCGGCGUGCUUAACACAUGCAAGUCGAGCGAUGAAGUUCCUUCGGGAAUGGAUUAGCGGCGGACGGGUGAGUAACACGUGGGUAACCUGCCUCAUAGAGGGGAAUAGCCUUCCGAAAGGAAGAUUAAUACCGCAUAAGAUUGUAGCUUCGCAUGAAGUAGCAAUUAAAGGAGUAAUCCGCUAUGAGAUGGACCCGCGUCGCAUUAGCUAGUUGGUGAGGUAACGGCUCACCAAGGCGACGAUGCGUAGCCGACCUGAGAGGGUGAUCGGCCACAUUGGGACUGAGACACGGCCCAGACUCCUACGGGAGGCAGCAGUGGGGAAUAUUGCACAAUGGGGGAAACCCUGAUGCAGCAACGCCGCGUGAGUGAUGACGGUCUUCGGAUUGUAAAACUCUGUCUUCAGGGACGAUAAUGACGGUACCUGAGGAGGAAGCCACGGCUAACUACGUGCCAGCAGCCGCCGUAAUAC
rnacentral:rRNA from 1 species